UUAAAUUUUAAUGGGUAGCUAGUAGACAGUAACACUCUGGAAGGGCUCAAACCACAUAACCAAAUGUGCCAAGAUAAUCCUGAGAUCGCUCAUGUCAGUCCUGAAGAUUUUCCUCAGAGAAUUUUUCAUCUCUUUGUUCCUGAGACUAUAUAUUAGAGGAUUGCAGAGAGGUGUUAUCACAGAAUAGAAAAAGGUCACUUGAUAUUCUUGGCUUGAUGAAAAAAGAACAAGAUUCUAACGUGACAGAAUUUGUUCUUCUGGGCCUAUCAUCUUCUUGGGAGCUGCAGCUAUUUCUCUUCUUACUAUUUUUGUUUUUUUACAUUGCUAUCGUCCUGGGAAACCUCUUGAUAGUGGUAACAGUGCAAGCCCAUGCUCACCUGCUCCAACUUCCUAUGUAUUAUUUUUUAGGUCAUCUCUCUUUCAUUGACCUAAGCCUGAGCUGUGUUACUGUGCCAAAGAUGUUAGGGGAUUUCCUACAGCAGGGCAAGAGCAUCUCUUUUUCAGGAUGCCUGGCCCAGAUCUACUUCCUCCACUUUCUAGGAGCCAGUGAGAUGUUUCUGCUGACAGUCAUGGCCUAUGACAGUGGAUUUUUAUCUGAGAUCUACAACUUAUGAAGAAUAUAAGUGAUAUAUAUAUAAGUGAUUAUAUGUGUAAUAUAUAUAAGUGAUAUAUAUUCUUUUCUACUCUUCAUGUAUGGAAUAAAAGGGCUUGCACAGUAGUAAGAAAAAAAUGGCUUAGGCCCACAGGAACAAAGAAACAGGACAGGAGUUAGAUGCAGAGAAGAGAUUUCAACAAAAGUUUGGAAAAGAUGCUAACGGUAGCAUAUGAGUCACAGACAGAAUAUUGGCACCUUUUUUUUAAGAAACUGAAUGUUAAUGUCACAUCUGCCUUUGGAGAUUACAAAUGAAAUGGCUACCUUUCUACUGGAACUCUGACCAGAAGCCUGCCAAUUAGUAAGCUGGCUUAAGAGAUCAAUCUAAAAUUUACAUAAGGCUUUUGAAAAAAAGAAAAAAGCAGAAGAAAUGAAGAUAGCAAACAACACAGUAGUGACAGAAUUUAUCCUCCUUGGUCUGACUCAGUCUCAAGAUAUUCAGCUCUUGGUCUUUGUGCUGAUCUUAAUUUUCUACCUUAUCAUCCUCCCCGGAAAUUUCCUCAUCAUUUUCACCAUAAAGUCAGACCCUGGCCUCACAGCCCCCCUCUAUUUCUUUCUGGGCAACUUGGCCUUCCUGGAUGCAUCCUACUCCGUCAUUGCGGCUCCCCGGAUGUUGGUGGACUUCCUCUCUGUGAAGAAGGUAAUCUCCUACAGAGGCUGCAUCACUCAGCUCUUUUUCUUGCACUUCCUUGGAGGAGGGGAGGGAUUACUCCUUGUUGUGAUGGCCUUUGACCGCUACAUCGCCAUCUGCCGGCCUCUGCACUAUUCGACUGUCAUGAACCCUAGAGCCUGCUAUGCAAUGAUGUUGGCUCUGUGGCUCGGGGGUUUUGUCCACUCCAUUAUCCAGGUGGUCCUCAUCCUCCGCUUGCCUUUUUGUGGCCCAAACCAGCUGGACAACUUCUUCUGUGAUGUCCCACAGGUCAUCAAGCUGGCUUGCACCGACACGUUUGUGGUGGAGCUUCUGAUGGUCUUCAACAGUGGCCUGAUGACACUCCUGUGCUUUCUGGGGCUUCUGGCUUCCUAUGCAGUCAUCCUCUGCCAUGUUCGUAGGGCAGCUUCUGAAGCGAGGAACAAGGCCAUGUCCACGUGCACCACUCAUGUCAUUAUUAUACUUCUUAUGUUUGGACCUGCUAUCUUCAUCUACACGCGCUCUUCAUCUACACGCGCCCCUUCAGGGCCUUACCAGCUGACAAGGUGGUUUCUUUCUUUCACACAGUGAUCUUUCCAUUGAUGAAUCCUAUGAUUUAUACCCUUCGCAACCAGGAAGUGAAAACUUCCAUGAAGAGGUUAUUGAGUCAACAUGUAGUCUGUCAAGCGGACUUUAUAAUAAGAAACUGAGAAGGAGGAAUUCUGGCUGGAAUUCAUAUCAUUCAUUUAACAAGUCCUGUUUUUCACUGAGUACCUCCCAUUUGCCAGGUACCAUUGUAGGCAAUGGAGGAGAGUUACGCAUAAUGAGAGAAUAAACUUAUUAAACUUAAAGAAUAUAAAGGAAACCCCAGAGUGGUUGAAGUAUAAUGAGUAAGUGUGAGAAAUUUAGGGGUUAAGUCUUAUGUGACUGCAAGGGUUUUUUAGUCUGAGGUAACAAUUUUUCAUAUUUUAAUUGUGGUAAGAACCCAUUUUAAUGUUUUAAGCAAAGGAGCAGUUCAUCUACAAUGCUUUCCUCUAUUGGUUAGAGCAACAUCAGCAAGAUUUUAGGCAGAGAUUAAUAAGUUUUAAAAUAUC
rnacentral:sRNA from 1 species